UUAGAGCAGCUGGGCUCGGCGAGCUGUCGGUUGGCCACGACAGUAAAAAAAAAUUACUGCGUCCGAUUGCAAAUCUACGACUCCCAUUUUCAGCUCACCCGUCACCCCCAUCCGUCCUUUGCUAUUACGGUAAAAAAAAUAUCCCCGCUUCCAGACCUUUCUUCUCCCCCGACACCACUCUUUAAUCACCUUCCCCCGUGAGGAGGUGGUGGACAGCCACAACGCUAGUGGUGGGAGGACGCGGUGUUGGCAAGGUGGCGCCGGCGUCAGCCCGCCGCCAGACCAGGCGCUAGCUCGCAGCCGGCCCUCGUCGUGGCGGCCCGCCAACCCGCCUCCUCUGCACGCCUCCGCAUCGUCUCGCCGUCCCCGUGCGCCCACGGCCUGCCCUCGUCGCAGCCGCCUGCCAGCUCGCCUCCUCCUCCACGCAUCGUCUCGCCGUCCCCCCGUGAAGUCGUCCGGCUGCAGUGCGCUCAAGGAGGCUGAGGCUCGCCUGUCUAACGUGCCCCUCACCACGCCCUUCACCAUCACAUCCUUGCGCCUCGAGACAAUCUCCAACAUCGCCGUGCACGUCAAGCUCCGCAACGGCGCCGUCGUUUAAGGGGAGGUUGACCUCCACCUUCCACCCGGCUCCUGUGAGGAUUGAGGGCACACACCGGCCUGCGAAGUGGCCAGCCACGGCCAUGGCUGACCUUGGGAAUUCCAACGCAAUGUGACCUCGCUUCUUCCCGUGAGCAGUUAAUGACGGUUGUGAUUCUACAAAUACGUUGUCCUCCUGUGCCUCCUGCACUCCUUACGAUUCAAGUGCAUACACCUUGUCAGCAGCUUCCAAAGUGUUCGACAGAAUGCUUAUGAGGAGGCCAACAUGAAGAUAGUAGUUGUCUCAUCUGCACAUAAACAACAGGUCUACCUGCCUGGUACAUUCAUCUAUGACACGAAAUUCUUUUCUACUUCACCUCCUAUUGACCUCUGUGCUUUAGUUUCCUUUUCCCUUUGGGUGGACAGAAGAUUGACCCAGUGUGGAGUUGUCUGAUUUGGGAGAGGAGCAAUUCGAUGGGAACGGGGCUGGCAGUCUAGCAAGCCAGUAGCUCAGUGCUUGCAUCCUGCAAUGUAUCCACGGAAGCAUUCCUCACAACUGAACAACAACAUCCAGCACAUGUCUGAUUGAAGCUAUAUAGAACCUCAGUGGCUAAAAGAUUAAGGAUGCCUUAAGGUAAAUUAUUUUUCAUGGUUGAAGUAUUCAGAUGAUUUCUGUUCACAUAGUAAGUUGCUCCCUUUUAGAUACAAUGUGGACUUUUUCAUCAUUUAUGCUGUGCAAAGAUGAAAUAGAUAUGAAUCUGACUCAAGCCAGCUGUUGUAAUUUUCUGAAAAAUAAACUUCAUUCCGCAACAUAAUUAUUUCUAUAGAAAAGUUAACAUGGAACAAAGGAAAAGUGGUUUGUCAACCAUAUUGUCAUGGUAUAUAUUUUUGCUGUCAUUCCUGAACCUAAUUUCUACAAGGACCAAAACAAAGGGUUAGGUUUUUAAUGGUUAUGAGUUUUAUAAUUUCAUUGUUGCCUCAUUGAAGUAUUUGGGUUACGAACCUCAAUCGCUUUUACAAAACAUUGUUGGGAUUCUCAGUGGAAAGUAUUAUGAAUUAAAUUAGAUACUGCAAGUGCUAAUAUCGGAAGAGGUAAAGUGCUAAUAUUGUAAAGUAGCAUGAAUUAAAUUAUAUACUACAAGGCUAAUAUUGGAAUCGCCUCUUCCGAUAUUAGCACUUGCAAUAUCAAAUUUAAUUCAUGCUACUUUCCACUUGAGAACAAAGUGCUACUGCCUCACAUAGUUAAUUUGCCACCACACAGGUGAUAGUGAAAGGUAGAUUACAGGUAUGGAAAGAUUUAGCUUUACACUUGAUAACUUUGUGGACGACUGCAUUGCCAUUACUAAUAAUCUAACAACUGUACUACUCAUGGUACUGGCAGAAGAGUGAAAAAAUUUGGUUAUUGAUAUUUCGGAAAUGUAUGCCAACCACUAGAGGCUCAGUACAUGAUAACUGGAAAAAAAAUAAUAAGCAUCCUAGGAUUGAACUGUGAGUCCCUAUACUUGGUUCUGCACUGAGCCUUGUAGCUUCACUAACUGUUGAAGAAUGCAUAAAGCAACUGUUUGUACAAAAACAGCACUAGCUGUACAAAGCCAUGACCAAGGAUCACCAAUAGCACUUGGAAUGCCUUAGUAAGAAUUAAUAGUUAUGAGAACUAAACCUCUAUCUAAUGCAUAUUAAGUAUUUAAGUUCUUUGUUCCAUAUUAGAACUGCUUGUUUAAUUUUGCGCAGCAUUUUGAAAAUAAAGCAAUGGUGCAUGUCUGUAUGGCCAACAAGAGAGCACAAUUCCAUUGCAAAUAUUUUGCAUCUUGCUACCUUAACCAAAUGUGAUUGAUCGGGCUAUUUCAGCAAAAUUAUCCUCGAACUAAUGGAAUGCUAAUCUGUAUGGGCCAUUUAUUUACUUUGCCCAUCUUAUGACAAUGAUAACUCUACUAAAUCUUUAAUCAAACAGUUAUCGCGCUUUCUGAAACAAAAAGGCAAUCACCUAACUCUUUAACGACCAAAAAUGCUCCUUGUGCUGCCUGAACAGCUUACACUAUCAUACAUGCACUCCUUAAUACUUGGGCUAUACAUCAGCUACCUGGGAUGUUUUGCACAAACUGAGACCCGUUACGAUCUUAUUUGGUUACACCUAGAAAAAAAAAGAAUUUUCUAAAACUUUAACUCACUUCUUUUUUCUCUUUUCCCCGUUAGAUCUUAUAAAAAAAGAUGUACAUACCAUUUUCAUAAAUGUACAUUCCCCUGCAAAUGAAAAUAUUUUUUACUACCAUAAUAAUUACCUCUAAGAUUAAAAGGGAAUUAUGCACGCAACUCUUUUCAGACCAUCCCAAAACAGCUGCAACUACAGCUCGAAUUUAGAUUAUGUACUUGGUAGAUUCUAGCCUUUUACUAGAGCACCAAAUGUGUUUUGUUGUACAUAUAAAAAAGUGUUUUGUUGUAACAUAAAUGUAAUCUAUUGUCUAUUAUAAUUCCCUACAAAUAAUGUACAAUAUUAAUAUUAUAGUUACCUA